rnacentral:rRNA from 1 species
UACGGAGGGUGCGAGCGUUGUCCGGAAUCACUGGGCGUAAAGGGCGCGUAGGCGGCGCGGGUAGUCAUCGGUGAAAGUUCAGGGCUCAACUCUGAAUCGGCCGGUGAUACUCCCGUGCUCGAGCACUGUAGAGGCAGGUGGAAUUCCGGGUGUAGCGGUGGAAUGCGUAGAGAUCGGGAGGAAGGCCGGUGGCGAAGGCGGCGCUCUGGAACAUUUCUGACGCUGAGGCUCGAAAGCGUGGGGAGCAAACAGG